rnacentral:rRNA from 1 species
UUUUGUACCUUUUGUAUCAGGGUUGAUUAAAAUUUAUUUAAUGAUUUUAAAUAUCUCGAAAAUAAGGGAGCUAAAUUUAUAUUAUUUUUUUUGUAGCAAUAAAAUUAUAAAUAUAGAUUUAGAAAUUAAAUGUUAAACGAACUUAUUAAUAUCUAGUUUUUUUAGAAAUAAAUUUAAUUUAGAUAUAAUUAUUUUAGUAAAUUAAAUUUUAUUUUAAUUUAUUAAUUUUUAUAUUAAAAAUUUAUGGGAUAAUCUAUAAAUUUAAGAUAAAAAUUUAAUUUUAAUUUUUAAUGUUAUAGAGAUAAUAUUUUUCUUUAAUUUUAAUAAUUUAAUAAUUUAAUAUUUAUAAAUUAAUAAUGAUUUAAAUUUAUAUUUUAUUUUUCUAUAAAAAUUUAUAUUUUAAUUAAUAAAAUAUAGAAAUAAUGAUUAGAUUAGUAAUAAAGUUAUAUUUUAUAAUGAUAUUUUGUAUUAUAUAAUUUAAAGGAAUUCGGCAAAUAUAUUAUUCACCUGUUUAUCAAAAACAUGUCCUGUUGAUUAUAAUUUUAGGUCGAUCUGCUCAAUGAAUUAUUUUAAAUAGCUGCAGUAUGUUGACUGUACAAAGGUAGCAUAAUAAAUUGUCUUUUAAUUGAAGAAUUGUAUGAAAGAAUUAAUGAAAUAAUAACUGUCUCUAAAUUAUUAAAUGAAUUUAAAUUUUUAGUUAAAAUUCUAAAAUUUAAUUAUGGGACGAUAAGACCCUAUAGAAUUUAAUUUAAUUUUUAAAUUUAUUUAUAAUUUUAAUAAAUAUAUUUAAGAUUAAAUUUGAUUGGGAGGAUUGGUAAAUUUAAUAAACUUUAUUUAAGAUUUAAUUUUGAUAUAAAGAUAAUUUUUUGAAUUAUAAAUUGUAAUUAAAAGAAUAAAUUACCUUAGGGAUAACAGCGUAAUAUCUGUUGAUAGAUCAUAUUGAUAAA